AUGGCGGCAUUGAUGGGCGUGGAGGAGCGCGCCGAGACGCUGCGGAGCACCGCCGAGGAGCUCGUCGGCGAGGACGAGCUGCUCCCGCUGCUUCACGGCAACCCCAGCCCGGUCUGCCUCGACAGCUUCGAGCCCUCCGUCUCCGGCCGCGUGCACAUCUGGCAGGGGGUUGGGAAGGUGAUCAAUGUGAACAAGAUGGUCAGGGCCGGAUGCAGAGUGAAGAUCCUCAUAGCCGACCAGCGGACCGGACUGAAGGAUUUGAGCGAGAUCAGGGCCGCCGGUCGCCGCGCGAUCGAGGUCUGGAAAGCCCUGGGCAUGAGCUCGGACGGGAUGGACUUCCUCUGGUGCUCCGAGGAGACGAGCAGACGCGCGCACGAGUACUGGCCGCUCGUGAUGGGGAUCUCCCGGAACCACAGCGUCAGAUGGUUAGCGAGCUUGCAUGCGGAUCCGGACAAUGUGGCGGGUAACCAGCUCUUGGAGCCCAUCAUGAAGUGCGCUGACACGCUCUUCCUCGAGUUGCCAUUUCUCCCCUUUGGAGUUGCAUCAGUAAAGUCCUCCUCUUCCAUGUCAAGAAGGUGCUCUUCUUGUGUUUCGUAUCCUUGA
rnacentral:rRNA from 1 species